rnacentral:rRNA from 1 species
CUACCCUGAACUGCGGAAUAGCUCCGGGAAACUGGAAUUAAUACCGCAUGUGCCCUGAGGGGCAAAGAUUUAUCGGUUCAGGAUGAGCCCGCGUCGGAUUAGCUAGUUGGUGGGGUAAUGGCCUACCAAGGCGACGAUCCGUAGCUGGUCUAAGAGGAUGAUCAGCCACAUUGGGACUGAGACACGGCCCAAACUCCUACGGGAGGCAGCAGUGGGGAAUAUUGGACAAUGGGCGCAAGCCUGAUCCAGCCAUGCCGCGUGAGUGAUGAAGGCCCUAGGGUUGUAAAGCUCUUUCAGUGGGGACGAUAAUGACGGUACCCACAGAAGAAGCCCCGGCUAACUUCGUGCCAGCAGCCGCGGUAAUACGAAGGGGGCUAGCGUUGUUCGGAAUUACUGGGCGUAAAGCGCACGUAGGCGGAUAUUUAAGUCAGGGGUGAAAUCCCGGGGCUCAACCCCGGAACUGCCUUUGAUACUGGAUGUCUUGAGUCCGGAAGAGGUGAGUGGAAUUGCGAGU